CCCUAAAAACUAACAUCCUAGGAGUUUUAGCAUCACAGUAGACAGUUCACAUUCUUCAUAGAUGAAAAAAGAAGCAGCAGGACGAAGCUGCAAGAUUUGCCAGAAGAAUGCAUCGCAGAAAUACUAUGCACUCCUGUGGAUGUGUGCAGUUUCUCCCUUCUGAUUUGUCCUCUAACUCUAUGAAGGCUCUCUUUUUCACUCUCUCCGACCGUCCCACCAUCGUCGACCAGGCUACCAAGGUCCAAGAGUUUUGAAUUGGACAAAAAGACUGCGAAGAAGUGUUACAUGUUUUCGGCCAGAGAUCUCAGCAUUGAAUGUAAAUCGGGUAACUGGACACGUACAAGUGCAAGGAUGCAAGAGUCCAGGUUCAAAAAAGUUGCUUGGCUCCCUUCUGAAUCCUUCUUUUCCAUUGGUAGGAUGAUAAACACGGGUAUACAGCUUUUCUUGUGUUCAAGUUGAUCGAAGCCAGCAAAUCAUUUUCUAGUGCCAGAUCUACAAGUGUUACUUACUGCAUAUAUAAAACGUCCUAUGGAGAGAAGGGAUGGGUGGUUGGAGAUUAAGAUUGGGAGCUUCAAUUCAGGCCUAAAAGAAGACCAAGUGCCAUUGAAAGUGAAGUCAAUUAGAGAUAGAUGGACCCCCAGUAGUUUCAUUAUUGAAGGAAUAGAACUUCGGCCUCCAUGUUAGGCCUAGAAAUAAUAUAAGCUUGUUCCUGUAAACCGUUUUUAUUUAAAAAAUAAAUUUUUACUUAUUUUAAUAAAAUAAGUAAUUUCCUGUUUU